CUAUGCGCCUUGCCAGCCCGCUCAGGUGUGCCAGCAGCCGCGGUAAUACAGAGGUCUCAAGCGUUGUUCGGAAUCACUGGGCGUAAAGCGUGCGUAGGCGGUUUCGUAAGUCGUGUGUGAAAGGCGGGGGCUCAACCCCCGGACUGCACAUGGUACUGCGAGACUAGAGUAAUGGAGGGGGAACCGGAAUUCUCGGUGUAGCAGUGAAAUGCGUAGAUAUCGAGAGGAACACUCGUGGCGAAGGCGGGUUCCUGGACAUUAACUGACGCUGAGGCACGAAGGCCAGGGGAGCGAGAGGG
rnacentral:rRNA from 1 species